rnacentral:lncRNA from 1 species
UGAAUGGGUUACACACACACACACGCACACACACACACACACACACACAUAGGUGGUCUCUUCCGGAGUUUUCUGGCCUUGCAGCAAAUCAUUUCCUCCUCGGAGGGAGGGCGCUAAAUUGUCUCUGGUCCCUGUCGGCUUUUCAGGUACCCUGCCCCUUCCCGUCCUCUCAGGGUUGUCUCUCUCUUGUCUCCCCCCGCCCCCUGCCACGCGUGCCGCGUGGUCUCGUCUGCCCCUCCCCCCUGCGUUCGGUCGCUGUGGCACUAAGGGGUCCCGGCGGGAAGCGCGGCAGACGAGCCCACUGUGCGGCCUCCGUCGGGGGAGGGGAUCGAGGAUUCCUUCCUAUGUGACGGUUUCUAGUCUGAGAAAGGCGGCGUCCGGGCUCGGCCUUCGCCCUGCGUGCGAGUGAGCGCAGCGGGACGGUCCAUUGUGUUGGCCCGAGAGGUAGGGGUGGGCGUGGCGGGU